rnacentral:snoRNA from 1 species
AACCCAUGGUUUGGGCAUUUUCUCAGCAUCCUCUUGAAUCUCUCACAUGCCUCACAAAAAGACUCUUCUACCCCUUGUCUGAACAUAGAUACUUCAGACUUAGCAU